rnacentral:rRNA from 1 species
UUUAAGGUCUAACCUGCCCAAUGAGGAUUUAAAUGGCCGCAGUAUUUUGACUGUGCAAAGGUAGCAUAAUUAUUAGUUUUUUAAUUGAAAGCUUGUAUGAAGGGUUGGACGAGAUAAAAUCUGUCUUUAUUUAAAUUAAAAUAGAAUUUAACUUUUAAGUCAAAAGGCUUAAAUACUAAUAAAAGACGAGAAGACCCUAUAGAUCUUUAUUUAAUUAAUAUUUUAAUAAUUUAGGAUUAUUUUAAUUUAAAAUUUUAAUUAAAUUUUAUUGGGGUAAUAUAAAGAUUAAAAAAAUUCUUUUUAUUUAUUACAUUAAUUUAUGAAUUUAUGAUCCAAUAUUAUUGAUUAAAAGAUUAAGUUACCUUAGGGAUAACAGCGUAAUUUUUUUGGAGAGCUCAUAUCGAUAAAAAAGUUUGCGACCUCGAUGUUGGAUUAAAAAUUAGCUUGGGUGCAGAAGUUCAAGAUUUUGGUCUGUUCGACCAUUAAAUUUUUACAUGAUCUGAGUUCAGACCGGCGUAAGCCAGGUCGGUUUCUAUCUUUAUUAAAAUAAAAUAUUUUAGUACGAAAGGACCAAAUAUUUAAUAUAUUUAUAUUUAUUUUUUGAAUAAUAUUAUUACUUUGGCAGAAUAGUGCGAUGAAUUUAGAAUUCAUACAUGUAAUUUUUUUACAAGUAAUACUUGUAUUUAGGAGAUUUAUUAAUAAUAGUUUUAUGUAUAUUAAUUCUUAUUAUUUGUGUAUUAGUUGGGGUAGCUUUUUUAACUUUACUAGAGCGAAAGGUAUUGGGUUAUAUUCAGAUUCGUAAGG